rnacentral:lncRNA from 1 species
CGAGCGGAGAGGAGAUGCACACGGCACUCGAGUGUGAGGAAAAAUAGAAAUGAAGGUACAUAUGCACACAAAAUUUUGCCUCAUUUGUUUGCUGACAUUUAUUUUUCAUCAUUGCAACCAUUGCCAUGAAGAACAUGACCAUGGCCCUGAAGCGCUUCACAGACAGCAUCGUGGAAUGACAGAAUUGGAGCCAAGCAAAUUUUCAAAGCAAGCUGCUGAAAAUGAAAAAAAAUACUAUAUUGAAAAACUUUUUGAGCGUUAUGGUGAAAAUGGAAGAUUAUCCUUUUUUGGUUUGGAGAAACUUUUAACAAACUUGGGCCUUGGAGAGAGAAAAGUAGUUGAGAUUAAUCAUGAGGAUCUUGGCCACGAUCAUGUUUCUCAUUUAGAUAUUUUGGCAGUUCAAGAGGGAAAGCAUUUUCACUCACAUAACCACCAGCAUUCCCAUAAUCAUUUAAAUUCAGAAAAUCAAACUGUGACCAGUGUAUCCACAAAAAGAAACCAUAAAUGUGAUCCAGAGAAAGAGACAGUUGAAGUGUCUGUAAAAUCUGAUGAUAAACAUAUGCAUGACCAUAAUCACCGCCUACGUCAUCACCAUCGUUUGCAUCAUCAUCUUGAUCAUAACAACACUCACCAUUUUCAUAAUGAUUCCAUUACUCCCAGUGAGCGUGGGGAGCCUAGCAAUGAACCUUCAACAGAGACCAAUAAAACCCAGGAACAAUCUGAUGUUAAACUACCG